AACGAACGCUGGCGGCAUGCCUAACACAUGCAAGUCGAACGAGACCUUCGGGUCUAGUGGCGCACGGGUGCGUAACGCGUGGGAACCUGCCCUUAGGUUCGGAAUAACUCCCCGAAAGGGGUGCUAAUACCGGAUAAUGUCUUCGGACCAAAGAUUUAUCGCCUUUGGAUGGGCCCGUGUUGGAUUAGCUAGUUGGUAGGGUAAAAGCCUACCAAGGCGACGAUCCAUAUCUGGUCUGAGAGGAUGAUCAGCCACACUGGGACUGAGACACGGCCCAGACUCCUACGGGAGGCAGCAGUGGGGAAUAUUGGACAAUGGGCGAAAGCCUGAUCCAGCAAUGCCGCGUGAGUGAUGAAGGCCUUAGGGUUGUAAAGCUCUUUUACCCGGGAUGAUAAUGACAGUACCGGGAGAAUAAGCUCCGGCUAACUCCGUG
rnacentral:rRNA from 1 species